GGCAGCGUUGUUAGGCAACCAGUAUCUGAGCCGUACAUUGGAUAUGAACAUGUGCGGUGGACGAUUAUGCAAAUGAGAAAUGCUGUCAGGUGUCAUAACGCAGCUCUGCAAUGGCACCCCUGUGGCUGCAAGAGUUGGAUUCCAUUGAUGACGGAUCGCGUGCAGAGGAUGAGAGAGGUGAAGCAGGCCAGGAUGACCACAGAAUCAAACGACAAGAGGAGGUAAUCGUUCUUAUCAGCUAGAAACCAGAGCCACAGAUUUCAGGGGUUCAUGAAGAAGUAUUUGAGCCUCCGUCUGAAGUCCUCCACCACCUUCGACUCGAGAGUGUGAGCGCUCCAUCUGCAGUGUCCGUUCAGCCUCCUCUCCUCUGACCUCAUGGCCGACAG